AGAGCGGGCAUUUGUGUUCCCUCAAAUGGCGGUGUGAAGAGAGUUCGCCUGAGCCAGAUCCCAGGCAGGUUUCACUGAAGAAACUUCUUAGAGAUUCAUUGCACUUCUGAGAUUUAAUGUUUACAACUUGGAGUUGUCGACCUUCUUAUAAGAUACAUUUUGGAAGUCAAAAUGAAAGUUUUCUGUGAAGUUUUAGAAGAGUUAUACAAGAAGGUACUUCUUGGAGCCACACUUGAAAAUGACAGCCAUGAUUACAUCUUUUAUCUCAACCCAGCAGUUUCAGAUCAAGAUUGUUCUACAGCCACCUCCUUAGAAUGGGCAAACACCUGUGGUAUCCAGGGCAGGCAUCAGCCCAUCUCUGUUGGUGUGGCUCCCAUUGCUGUAGCACCUGUGUGUUUGAAGACCAACUCUCAGAUGAGCGGUUCCAGAGAAGUAAUGCUCCUUCAGUUAACAGUGAUCAAAGUGAUGACAACCCGGAUAUUGUCUGUCAAAACCGAGUUCCAUGCAAAGGAGCAGUACAGAGAUGUAAUUAAAAUUCUCUUAGAAUCAGCCAAAGUCGAUUCUAAAUUAAUCUGCAUGUUCCAAAAUUCAGAUAAAUUGUUAUCUCACAUGGCUGCACAGUGCCUUGCAUUGCUUCUAUAUUUCCAAUUGAGAGAAAAGAUAACCUUAAGUAAUUCCUGGAUUGCUUUUUGCCAGAAAAAUCUUUCUGAAUACUCUGAGAGUAAUAAAGCAAUAUACUGCCUCUGGACUCUUACAGCAAUAAUAAAAGAAAUCUUUAAAGAUUCAUGUUCACAGAAAACAGAAAUUCUAAAGCAGUUCCUGACUCAUUUCGACACCAUUUUUGAAGUGUUUUACAAUUCCUUAUUCUCUCAGCAUUUUGAAAACUGCCGGGAUACUUCUAAAAUAGUAAACAUCCUGAUGUGUUUCCUGGAUUUGCUUGAGCUUCUCAUCGCCUCCAGAAUCCACCUGAAGUUACAUUUCACUUGCCAGAGGAUUUUAUUUUUGAAACCAUCUUGCAUGCUAGAAGUUAUUACCUGGCCUAUUCAGGCUUUUGUUAAAAGGAAGGUCAUCAUAUUCCUCAAAAAGUGCCUUCUCUGUAAAGUGGGUGAAGACCUCUGUCGUGGAUCUGUGCCUGCCUUAAUGCCGCCAGACCAUCAUGUAGCGGUGGACAUGCUGGCUUUAGCUAAUGCUGUUUUGCAAGCUGUGAAUUCGGGGUUGUUGAAGACACUGUCUGUUUAUGAAAAACAUUCCUUUUUUGGAGGUGAUGAAGUUCAACCUGAAUGUGAACUUAUCACUAGUCCAGAUCAUGUGAUCCUUAGAGCAGCAAGCUUAGUUAUAAUGAAAUCCUUAGAAAUCAAGUUUCAAAAUUAUUCUUCAGCAAGUGAAGUGAAAGGUGCGUGACCAUGGCCCACUGCAGCCCUGACCCCCCUUCGGCCCAUGCUAUUCCUCCUGUCCCAACCUGGGAGGUCCUAGCCUGGGAGAUCAAGGCUACAGUGAGCCGCGACCCAUCGCACACCUGCACUCCAGUCCUGGUGCAACAGAUGGAGAUCCUUUCAGGGAGAGAGAGAGAGAGAGAGGAGAAGACAGAGAGAUUAAAGAAAAAUAUGUUCACUCCCACUUAUGUGUUUAUUGUUAUUAUUGUUUGUUGUUAUUUCUUUGUUAUUGUUGUGUUUACUGUUUAUUUAUUUUGAGGCAGGGUCUUGCUCUGUCUCCCAGGCUCACUGCAGCCUCAACGUUUUGAGCUGAAGUGAUCCUCUCGUCUCUGUUUCCCCACCCCAUUUGUAUUAAUCCUUCAUACAAUUAGUGUUUCCACUAAUGUAGAUUAUUGAAAAUUAGAUAUUGAAUUAAAGCUAAUAUAUGAGAAGUUAUAUUGACAAAGAAAUUGUUACAUAUAUAAUUUCCAGAAUAGUAACUCAGGAGUUCAAAGUCUUCCAUUUUACUUGAGAAAAAUGAAUAGUAAAUGUCUCUAAACAGGCAGCAUACAGAUUCAGUGAAAAGUUUGAAUUGUGAGCAAUGACAUCACUGAAUUGCUUUGGAUAUAAUUUAGCUUUUAAUAACUACACAUUAGUUAUAAUUCUGUGCAGUUUUAAUUUAUAACACUAGAUGGCACCUGUUAUAUAAUUCAGUUUUAAAUUGUAGUUCAAACUACCUAAAACGUUUUUUAUUUUUGUGCUUAAUAGUAGUACUUCUAUGCUUUAAACAAACAAAAAAUAUGUUUUUCUGUUAUUUUGAAGACAAAAUUAUUUUUGCUUGGUUGCAUUCUUGGACAGACAGCUCUGGCAUCCGAUGAAGUGAUCUUAGUUGUCUGCUCAUUUAUUUAUCUGCUUUUAGCAAGAAAUCACAUAACUUUUAUUUCUAAGAGACAGUUGUUAGGCAGUUGUUGCAAAUAGAUGAUGUAGCUGUACAUUUUAAAUGUAUGCUCUGGAAUGAGUCACUUUUUUUCCCUGAGCCUCAGUGUCCUCAUUUGCCAAAUAAAGAUGCUUCCUAACUGAUUCCUGAUGACUUUUUGAAAGUGAAUUAGGAUAAUUGCAUCUUAAGGUACUUUAGACACUAUGAAUUUAUAUAUAGGCAAGAUAUUCAUUCAUUCAUAAACUAUUGCCUACACUUUGAAAUUUUCAUUUUUUGAAGUUGACUUACAGAGGUUCAUGUCUGAGUUACUGACCUUCUUAAAGCCUCAUCUUCAGCCCUCUCUGCAAUUACACAAUCCGUGCAAAUGGCUGUCUCGGGUUUUCAUAGAACAAGACGAUGACAUGCUGGAGGCUGCCAAGGCAUCACUGGGCAUCUACUUAACACUGACCAGAGGAUGUGAAGCCACUGAAAGCUUGACUCAGGGAAAAGAAAUGUGGGACCAUCACACACAUGAAAAUGGCUAUAAUCCUCACUGUAUUUUCUUGUUCUUCUUGAAAAAUAUAGGAUUUGAUUCCACAGUUCUUCUUGACUUUUUGAUUUCAUCAGAAACCUGUUUUCUUGAAUAUUUUGUUAGAUAUUUAAAAUUACUGCAAAAGGACUGGGAUAAUUUUUUCACCAUUUGCAAUAACUUUGAUGCAACUGAAUCUAAAUAUGACAUAAGUAUUUGUGGCUGUGUCCCCUCACUUGUCCAAGACCAAAGCUCCAACCAAACAAUACCCCAUCGUUUGACUGCUCCUCAUAGUCACAGAGAUGUGUGUGCUCGGCACUCCUGGGCUUCCGAUGCUCCCUCUGAACCACUGAAAGCUGUGAUGUCCAAGGGGGCUCACACCAUGUGUGCUUCUAGUCUGUCUUCCCCCCGGGCCUCUCAAAGUCUGGUAGAUUACGACAGCUCUGACGAUUCUGACGUGGAAUCCACAGAGCAGUGUUUAGCUAACAGUAAACAGACAUCUUUACACCAGCAAGCAACUAAGGAGAUUCAGGAUGCAGCUGGGACAAGCAGGGAUAAAAAAGAAUUUAGCCUUGAGCCUCCAUCAAGGCCUCUGGUUCUGAAAGAAUUUGAUACUGCCUUCUCCUUUGAUUGUGAAGUAGCCCCAAAUGAUGUCGUCUCUGAAGUGGGAAUAUUUUACAGAAUAGUAAAAUGCUUCCAGGAACUACAAGAUGCCAUCUGCCGUUUGCAAAAGAAAAAUCUUUUCCCAUAUAAUCCAACUGCACUUUUGAAGUUGUUAAAAUACAUAGAGGUGAUAAGUAAUAAAACUAUGAACACUUUGUAAAACAUUGACAUUUUAUUUUCCAGGUAUUGUUUUUCCUUAAUAUAAAUUAUGUCUCAAUGAGGUAAUAGUAUAAAAUCAUCACCAUAAAAGGGUUUUCUUUUUUUUUUUUUUUUUUGAGACAGAAUCUCAUUCUGUCGCUCAGGCCGGAGUGCAGUGGCGUGACUCGACUCACUGCAACCUCCACCUCCUGGGUUCAAGCAAUUCUCCUGCCUCAGUCUCCCGAGUAGCUGGAAUUACAGGUGCCCGCCACCACGCCCAGCUAAUUUUUGUAUUUUUAGUAGAGACGGGGGUUUCACCAUGUUGCCAGGCUGGUCUCAAACUCCUGACCUCAAGUGAUCCGCCUGUCCGCCCUCCCGAAGUGCUGGGAUUACAGGCAUGAGCCACUGUGCCCGGCUGGGUUUUCUAGACAAGUUCUUACUUUUUGCCUUAUUGGAAGCAACCUAGUGACUGAAAAAGAGACAUCAAGUGACAAGUCACUCAUUAUAGCUAUAUACCACUGGAGAUUUAUGGCAGUUCUAAGUGACACAAAAUCGGGGGUGGUGAUUGCGUUCCUCAGCUAGGGCUGCCGUAACAACUUGCCACGUGUGCCGCAGCUUCAGACACCUGGAAUUAUCCUCAUAGUUUUGGAGGCCAGAAUCCAAACUCAGGCUUCAGCAGGGCAAUGCCCUCAGGGUCUGGAGAAGAAUCCCACCCUGCCCCUUUCUGGCUUCUGGUGGCAGCCAGCCAGCCAUGGUGUCCCUUGUCUUGUAGUGGCGUCACUCCAGUUCCUGCCUCACAUGGCAUUUUCCUGUGUCUGUGUCCAGUUUCCCUCCUACAAGGACAUCGGUCAUUGGACUAGGACCUACCCUCAUCCAGUAUGAUCUCAACUUGAUGACAGCUGCAAAGACCCUAAUCCCAGAUAUGGCCACUUUCAUGUGUCCUUGAUGGACUUGAAUCCAGGAGAGUCACUAACCAAAUACAGUUACUAUUUCCUUCUGGGGUAUUUACACAGAAAGCGAUAUAUUACAAAUGUAAAAUCUUAGCCGUUUCUUUGAGAAGUGAUUAUACCUGGCCUACUGUAUGAACAUGAUUCUUUCUAAAAAAAAAUUUAAUCACUAAUUUUCCUAUUUAAAAUUGUGACAUGAAUAAUUAUGUUCCAUAUUCUUGAGGGGAAGCCGUAAAUUCCAUUGUAAUAUGUUUGUGUAAUAGGAGCAAUAGCUAUAUUGUGCUGCGAAGUCUGGCAUUAAGGCAGUCUAAAAUAUUGCCUGUACAUUUUUUUUUAAUGAUCUCUUUGCAGAGAAACAGAACAAAGACUAAACCUACCGCACAUUAAAAUAUAUAUUAAGGCUAUGGUAUUCGAAACAGUUUAGUACUUAAUUCAGGUAGACAUGGAAAAAUCAGUGGAGCUAAAUAGAAGGUUGCCGAUUAAAAUAACAGCGAAGUACCAGUGUUAGCCAAAUAGCAAUGCAAAGGUCAAAAGGUUUGCGUUUUAACAUGCUGUCGGUGAGGCUAUGCGUUAAGGCAGUUUCUACCGUAAUUGAAAAAGCACGUCAAAGAAUGUGUAUUCAAGGAUGCCACAUAGUUUGUAAAAAAUGUUAAGGUUUUAGAGUUUUACUAGAAAUACCUGGUAAAGUAAGUCAGAAUUUGUAUAGUCAGUGGAAUGGUAGAUGCGUUCUAUGCACGUUUGUGGAUGUGAAACAUCUCCAGUAAAAAACAAGUAAAUACAUGGGGCUUGCAAUUAUUUAGGGAAAGAAGCAGGGCGGGAGUAAUACACAUUCAUAUAUAUGCUUUUGUGCAUGUAUAAAAUAUGUAUGUAAGACUACAUAAGAAAGUCAUAAUAGUGGUUGCCUUGGGAGACAGGUCUGAUGUGGAAGACAAAGUCUCAUCUUUUUGUACUAUUUUUAGUGGGAUACAUGCAGCACUGCAUUAGGAUGUUUCAAUAACAGACCACAUAGUACAGUGGUCCCAUAAGACUAUCAAGCCGUUAUUUUUACUGUGACUGUCCUAUGUUUAGGCAUGUUUAGAUACACGCAUACUUACUAUUGUGUUACAGUUGCCUACAGUAUUCAGUACAGUAACAUGCUGUGUACAGGUUUGUAGCCUAGGAGCAAUGGGCUAUACCAUAUAGCCUAGGUGUGUAGUAGGCUAUGCCAUCUAGGUUUGUUGAGUAUACUCUGUGACAUACAUGACAUGACAACAAAAUUGCCUUACAGCUCAUUUCUCAGAACAUGUCCCUGUCAUGUGACACAUGGCUGUUUUUUGAUGGAAAUAACUGGGAAAAAAAAAUCGACUCUUGUUCCUAAGGGUACAUAAAUGUUGAAUGCAUUAUAACUCA